rnacentral:tRNA from 1 species
GCGGGGAUAACUCAAUCAUCUGGUAGCUAAACGCUGCUGGAUUGAAAUGGGAGAGUGUCGGACUGAAGACGCCAUGCAAUUAAAUUUGCAGGCGGCCCAUAUCCGAAUGUUGCGGGUUCAAAUCCCGCUCCCCGCACCA